rnacentral:misc_RNA from 1 species
GAUGAAGAACGCAGCGAAAUGCGAUAAGUAAUGUGAAUUGCAGAAUUCAGUGAAUCAUCGAAUCUUUGAACGCACAUUGCGCCCGCCAGUAUUCUGGCGAGCAUACCUGUUCGAGCGUCAUUUCAACCAUCAAGCCCCAGGCUUGUGUUGGAGCCCUGCGGCUGCCGCAGCCUCCCAAAACCAGUGGCGGGCUCGCUAUCACACCGAGUGCAGUAGUUUACUCUUCGCUCAGGGCGUGUGGCGGGUGCUAGCCGUGAAACCCCCAACUUCUCAAGGUUGACCUCGGAUCAGGUAGGAAUACCCGCUGAACUUAAGCAUAUCAAUAAGCGGAGGA